GACGAACGCUGGCGGCGUGCUUAACACAUGCAAGUCGAACGGAAAGGCCCUGCUUUUGUGGGGUGCUCGAGUGGCGAACGGGUGAGUAACACGUGAGUAACCUGCCCUUGACUUUGGGAUAACUUCAGGAAACUGGGGCUAAUACCGGAUAGGAGCUCCUGCUGCAUGGUGGGGGUUGGAAAGUUUCGGCGGGUGGGGAUGGACUCGCGGCUUAUCAGCUUGUUGGUGGGGUAGUGGCUUACCAAGGCUUUGACGGGUAGCCGGCCUGAGAGGGUGACCGGCCACAUUGGGACUGAGAUACGGCGCAGACUCCUAAGGGAGGCAGCAGUGGGGAAUAUUGCACAAUGGGAGGAAGCCUGAUGCAGAAACGCCGCGUGCGGGAUGACGGCCUUCGGGGUGUAAACCGCUUUCGCCUGUGACGAAGCGUGAGUGACGGUAAUGGGUAAAGAAGCACCGGCUAACUACGUG
rnacentral:rRNA from 1 species